GGCGCACGGGUGCGUAACGCGUAUGCAAUCUACCUUUUACAGAGGGAUAGCCCAGAGAAAUUUGGAUUAAUACCUCAUAGUAUAUUUGAGUGGCAUCACUUGAUUAUUAAAGUUCCAACGGUAAAAGAUGAGCAUGCGUCCUAUUAGCUAGAUGGUAAGGUAACGGCUUACCAUGGCUACGAUAGGUAGGGGUCCUGAGAGGGAGAUCCCCCACACUGGUACUGAGACACGGACCAGACUCCUACGGGAGGCAGCAGUGAGGAAUAUUGGACAAUGGGCGCAAGCCUGAUCCAGCCAUGCCGCGUGCAGGAAGAAGCAUCUUGGUGUGUAAACUGCUUUUGUACGGGAAGAAACACUCCGACGUGUCGGAGCUUGACGGUACCGUAAGAAUAAGGAUCGGCUAACUCCGUGCCAGCAGCCGCGGUAAUACGGAGGAUCCAAGCGUUAUCCGGAAUCAUUGGGUUUAAAGGGUCCGUAGGCGGUUUAAUAAGUCAGUGGUGAAAUCUGGUCGCUUAACGAUCAAACGGCCAUUGAUACUGUUAGACUUGAAUUAUUGUGAAGUAACUAGAAUAUGUAGUGUAGCGGUGAAAUGCUUAGAUAUUACAUGGAAUACCAAUUGCGAAGGCAGGUUACUAACAAUAUAUUGACGCUGAUGGACGAAAGCGUGGGGAGCGAACAGGAUUAGAUACCCUGGUAGUCCACGCCGUAAACGAUGGAUACUAGCUGUUCGGAGCAAUCUGAGUGGCUAAGCGAAAGUGAUAAGUAUCCCACCUGGGGAGUACGUUCGCAAGAAUGAAACUCAAAGGAAUUGACGGGGGCCCGCACAAG
rnacentral:rRNA from 1 species